AUUGAACGCUGGCGGCAGGCCUAACACAUGCAAGUCGAGCGGAUGACGGGAGCUUGCUCCUUGAUUCAGCGGCGGACGGGUGAGUAAUGCCUAGGAAUCUGCCUGGUAGUGGGGGACAACGUUUCGAAAGGAACGCUAAUACCGCAUACGUCCUACGGGAGAAAGCAGGGGACCUUCGGGCCUUGCGCUAUCAGAUGAGCCUAGGUCGGAUUAGCUAGUAGGUGAGGUAAUGGCGCACCUAGGCGACGAUCCGCAACUGGUCUGAGAGGAUGAUCAGUCACGCUGGAACUAGUACACGGUCCAGACUCCUACGGGAGGGAGAAGUGGGGAAUAUUGGACAAUGGGCGAAAGACUGAUCCAGCCAUGCCGCGUGUGUGAAGAAGGUCUUCGGAUUGUAAAGCACUUUAAGUUGGGAGGAAGGGCAGUAAGCUAAUACCUUGCUGUUUUGACGUUACCGACAGAAUAAGCACCGGCUAACUCUGUGCCAGCCGCCGCGGUAACAC
rnacentral:rRNA from 1 species